GACGAACGCUGGCGGCGUGCUUAACACAUGCAAGUCGAACGGUGAAGCGCCUUCCUUUUUGGUGGGUGUGGAUGAGUGGCGAACGGGUGAGUAACACGUGAGUAACCUGCCCCCUUCUUCUGGAUAACCGCAUGAAAGUGUGGCUAAUACGGGAUAUUCUGGGUCUGUCGCAUGAUGGGUCUGGGAAAGAUAUUGUUUCGGUGGGGGAUGGGCUCGCGGCCUAUCAGCUUGUUGGUGGGGUGAUGGCCUACCAAGGCGGUGACGGGUAGCCGGCCUGAGAGGGUGGACGGUCACACUGGGACUGAGACACGGCCCGGACUCAUACGGGAGGCAGCAGUGGGGAAUAGUGCACAAUGGGCGCAAGCCUGAUGCAGCGACGCCGCGUGAGGGAUGGAGGCCUUCGGGUUGUGAACCUCUUUCGCCAGUGAAGCAGGCCUGCCUCGUUUGUGGGUGGGUUGACGGUAGCUGGAUAAGAAGCGCCGGCUAACUACGUG
rnacentral:rRNA from 1 species